GAUGAACGCUGGCGGCGUGCCUAAUACAUGCAAGUCGAGCGAACAGACGAGGAGCUUGCUCCUCUGACGUUAGCGGCGGACGGGUGAGUAACACGUGGAUAACCUGCCUAUAAGACUGGGAUAACUUCGGGAAACCGGAGCUAAUACCGGAUAAUAUAUUGAACCGCAUGGUUCAAUAGUGAAAGACGGUUUUGCUGUCACUUAUAGAUGGAUCCGCGCCGCAUUAGCUAGUUGGUAAGGUAACGGCUUACCAAGGCAACGAUGCGUAGCCGACCUGAGAGGGUGAUCGGCCACACUGGAACUGAGACACGGACCAGACGCCUACGGGAGGCAGCAGUAGGGAAUCUGCCGAAAAGGGCGAAAGCAUGACGGAGCAACGCCGCGUGAGUGAUGAAGGUCUUCGGAUCGUAAAACUCUGUUAUUAGGGAAGAACAAAUGUGUAAGUAAAUAUGCACGUCUUGACGGUACCUAAUCAGAAAGCCACGGCUAACUACGUG
rnacentral:rRNA from 1 species